rnacentral:lncRNA from 1 species
GGGGGGGGCUAGGAUGAAAUAUUUUGUCCUGCAUUUUUUUUUUAGUUGUAAUCUCUGUCCUGCCUUUUUAUUUUUCACUCUAUUCGGUCCUGCCUUUUUUUUAUUAGUUUAUCCUGACUUUUUUUACCUAAAUUAUCAUCCUGCCUUUUAUUUUUGCAAAGUGUGUCAUCCUGCCUUUUUUUUUACCCAAAACUCCUGUUCUGCCUAUUUUUUUUCAAAUUUCAUC